rnacentral:rRNA from 1 species
UACGUAGGGUGCGAGCGUUAAUCGGAAUUACUGGGCGUAAAGCGUGUGCAGGCGGUUUUGUAAGCCAGAUGUGAAAUCCCCGGGCUUAACCUGGGAAUGGCAUUUGGGACUGCAAGGCUGGAGUGCGGCAGAGGAGACUGGAAUUCCUGGUGUAGCGGUGAAAUGCGCAGAUAUCAGGAGGAACACCGGUGGCGAAGGCGGGUCUCUGGGCAGUAACUGACGCUGAGGAGCGAAAGCCAGGGGAGCAAACGGG